GGAGAGGUACCAGAGCGGUCUAAUGGAACGGCUUGGAAAGCCGUGACCCGAAAGGGUCCCGUGGGUUCGAAUCCCACCCUCUCCGCCA
rnacentral:tRNA from 5 species